UGAGAGGCAGAGUGCAUCCAUCAAGCUUGUUGCUCGGGCCGGAAAGGUGGAAAUCAACAAAAUCAACAGCUGCCGGCUGCUGGUGGUGGCCCAGGGGGGCUCUCCAGGUCUGCAAAGGCUCCGCCAGGAAGAAAAUCCGUUCUGGGAUCUCCCUGUUCCCGGAAAUUCAAAGUUAAAGGGAAGUGAACAAUUCCUGCGUUGUCUUACCCCGAUGGUUUGAGCCAUUGGACUCCUACAGCCACGUUCAUGCUUCUAGAAACAGACAACACCAACCUUUUCCUGUUUUCCAAAGCACGUUCAAGAGUCUUCUCUGGAAGUUCGAG
ensembl:lncRNA